rnacentral:lncRNA from 1 species
UGUUAUUUUUUUCCUUUUGUUUUUCUUAUUGAUUUAUUUGUUUGUUUGUUUAUUUUUGAGACAGGGUCUCACUCUGUCACCCAGGCUGGAAUGCAAUGGCACAGUCUCGGCUCACUGCAGCCUCCACCUCCUGGGCUCAAGCAAUCCUCCCACCUCAGCCUCCUGAGUAGCUGGGAUUUCCUUAGGGCGGGCUCUGUUGUGACCUUCCCUGUGACCUGGGCAUUUCCCAGUUUCUGCCCCUGGAAAUCAGAGCCAGGGAUCUGGGCUGGGGAAUUUUAGGGCAGAUGCAAGGAGAAAGAACAGGCCUCAAGCCCGCAGUUCACAUGGCCCCUCCCCAUGUGAAUUUUCAUGGUGCUGUUUAUAUGCUAGCAGAAGCUGGGCAAAGUGAGUGUUCAGGUGGCCCUGAUCCACAACCAACCAGUAUGGGGUGCCACCCAAGAGGA